UGUCCCUUGAUAUUCUCCCACCUU
rnacentral:piRNA from 1 species